GAUGAACGCUGGCGGCGUGCCUAAUACAUGCAAGUCGAGCGAACAGACGAGGAGCUUGCUCCUCUGACGUUAGCGGCGGACGGGUGAGUAACACGUGGAUAACCUACCUAUAAGACUGGGAUAACUUCGGGAAACCGGAGCUAAUACCGGAUAAUAUAUUGAACCGCAUGGUUCAAUAGUGAAAGACGGUUUUGCUGUCACUUAUAGAUGGAUCCGCGCCGCAUUAGCUAGUUGGUAAGGUAACGGCUUACCAAGGCAACGAUGCGUAGCCGACCCGAGAGGGUGAUCGGCCACACGGGAACUGAGACACGGUCCAGACUCCUACGGGAGGCAGCAGUAGGGAAUCUUCCGCAAUGGGCGAAAGCCUGACGGAGCAACGCCGCGUGAGUGAUGAAGGUCUUCGGAUCGUAAAACUCUGUUAUUAGGGAAGAACAAAUGUGUAAGUAACUAUGCACGUCUUGACGGUACCUAAUCAGAAAGCCACGGCUAACUACGUG
rnacentral:rRNA from 1 species